rnacentral:tRNA from 1 species
GCCUGGGUGGCUCAGUGGGUUGGGCGUCCGACUCCAGCUCCGGUCGUGAUCUCACGGUCCGUGGGUUCGAGCCCCGCGUCGGGCU